GGGUUGUGAGGUUAAGCGACUAAGCGUACACGGUGGAUGCCCUGGCAGUCAGAGGCGAUGAAGGACGUGCUAAUCUGCGAUAAGCGUCGGUAAGGUGAUAUGAACCGUUAUAACCGGCGAUUUCCGAAUGGGGAAACCCAGUGUGUUUCGACACACUAUCAUUAACUGAAUCCAUAGGUUAAUGAGGCGAACCGGGGGAACUGAAACAUCUAAGUACCCCGAGGAAAAGAAAUCAACCGAGAUUCCCCCAGUAGCGGCGAGCGAACGGGGAGCAGCCCAGAGCCUGAAUCAGUGUGUGUGUUAGUGGAAGCGUCUGGAAAGGCGCGCGAUACAGGGUGACAGCCCCGUACACAAAAAUGCACAUGCUGUGAGCUCGAUGAGUAGGGCGGGACACGUGGUAUCCUGUCUGAAUAUGGGGGGACCAUCCUCCAAGGCUAAAUACUCCUGACUGACCGAUAGUGAACCAGUACCGUGAGGGAAAGGCGAAAAGAACCCCGGCGAGGGGAGUGAAAAAGAACCUGAAACCGUGUACGUACAAGCAGUGGGAGCACGCUUAGGCGUGUGACUGCGUACCUUUUGUAUAAUGGGUCAGCGACUUAUAUUCUGUAGCAAGGUUAACCGAAUAGGGGAGCCGAAGGGAAACCGAGUCUUAACUGGGCGUUAAGUUGCAGGGUAUAGACCCGAAACCCGGUGAUCUAGCCAUGGGCAGGUUGAAGGUUGGGUAACACUAACUGGAGGACCGAACCGACUAAUGUUGAAAAAUUAGCGGAUGACUUGUGGCUGGGGGUGAAAGGCCAAUCAAACCGGGAGAUAGCUGGUUCUCCCCGAAAGCUAUUUAGGUAGCGCCUCGUGAAUUCAUCUCCGGGGGUAGAGCACUGUUUCGGCAAGGGGGUCAUCCCGACUUACCAACCCGAUGCAAACUGCGAAUACCGGAGAAUGUUAUCACGGGAGACACACGGCGGGUGCUAACGUCCGUCGUGAAGAGGGAAACAACCCAGACCGCCAGCUAAGGUCCCAAAGUCAUGGUUAAGUGGGAAACGAUGUGGGAAGGCCCAGACAGCCAGGAUGUUGGCUUAGAAGCAGCCAUCAUUUAAAGAAAGCGUAAUAGCUCACUGGUCGAGUCGGCCUGCGCGGAAGAUGUAACGGGGCUAAACCAUGCACCGAAGCUGCGGCAGCGACGCUUAUGCGUUGUUGGGUAGGGGAGCGUUCUGUAAGCCUGUGAAGGUGUGCUGUGAGGCAUGCUGGAGGUAUCAGAAGUGCGAAUGCUGACAUAAGUAACGAUAAAGCGGGUGAAAAGCCCGCUCGCCGGAAGACCAAGGGUUCCUGUCCAACGUUAAUCGGGGCAGGGUGAGUCGACCCCUAAGGCGAGGCCGAAAGGCGUAGUCGAUGGGAAACAGGUUAAUAUUCCUGUACUUGGUGUUACUGCGAAGGGGGGACGGAGAAGGCUAUGUUGGCCGGGCGACGGUUGUCCCGGUUUAAGCGUGUAGGCUGGUUUUCCAGGCAAAUCCGGAAAAUCAAGGCUGAGGCGUGAUGACGAGGCACUACGGUGCUGAAGCAACAAAUGCCCUGCUUCCAGGAAAAGCCUCUAAGCAUCAGGUAACAUCAAAUCGUACCCCAAACCGACACAGGUGGUCAGGUAGAGAAUACCAAGGCGCUUGAGAGAACUCGGGUGAAGGAACUAGGCAAAAUGGUGCCGUAACUUCGGGAGAAGGCACGCUGAUAUGUAGGUGAAGUCCCUCGCGGAUGGAGCUGAAAUCAGUCGAAGAUACCAGCUGGCUGCAACUGUUUAUUAAAAACACAGCACUGUGCAAACACGAAAGUGGACGUAUACGGUGUGACGCCUGCCCGGUGCCGGAAGGUUAAUUGAUGGGGUUAGCCGCAAGGCGAAGCUCUUGAUCGAAGCCCCGGUAAACGGCGGCCGUAACUAUAACGGUCCUAAGGUAGCGAAAUUCCUUGUCGGGUAAGUUCCGACCUGCACGAAUGGCGUAAUGAUGGCCAGGCUGUCUCCACCCGAGACUCAGUGAAAUUGAACUCGCUGUGAAGAUGCAGUGUACCCGCGGCAAGACGGAAAGACCCCGUGAACCUUUACUAUAGCUUGACACUGAACAUUGAGCCUUGAUGUGUAGGAUAGGUGGGAGGCUUAGAAGUGUGGACGCCAGUCUGCAUGGAGCCGACCUUGAAAUACCACCCUUUAAUGUUUGAUGUUCUAACGUUGACCCGUAAUCCGGGUUGCGGACAGUGUCUGGUGGGUAGUUUGACUGGGGCGGUCUCCUCCUAAAGAGUAACGGAGGAGCACGAAGGUUGGCUAAUCCUGGUCGGACAUCAGGAGGUUAGUGCAAUGGCAUAAGCCAGCUUGACUGCGAGCGUGACGGCGCGAGCAGGUGCGAAAGCAGGUCAUAGUGAUCCGGUGGUUCUGAAUGGAAGGGCCAUCGCUCAACGGAUAAAAGGUACUCCGGGGAUAACAGGCUGAUACCGCCCAAGAGUUCAUAUCGACGGCGGUGUUUGGCACCUCGAUGUCGGCUCAUCACAUCCUGGGGCUGAAGUAGGUCCCAAGGGUAUGGCUGUUCGCCAUUUAAAGUGGUACGCGAGCUGGGUUUAGAACGUCGUGAGACAGUUCGGUCCCUAUCUGCCGUGGGCGCUGGAGAACUGAGGGGGGCUGCUCCUAGUACGAGAGGACCGGAGUGGACGCAUCACUGGUGUUCGGGUUGUCAUGCCAAUGGCACUGCCCGGUAGCUAAAUGCGGAAGAGAUAAGUGCUGAAAGCAUCUAAGCACGAAACUUGCCCCGAGAUGAGUUCUCCCUGACUCCUUGAGAGUCCUGAAGGAACGUUGAAGACGACGACGUUGAUAGGCCGGGUGUGUAAGCGCAGCGAUGCGUUGAGCUAACCGGUACUAAUGAACCGUGAGGCUUAACCUUACAACGCCGAAGCUGUU
rnacentral:rRNA from 1 species